UACGUAGGGAGCAAGCGUUGUCCGGAAUCAUUGGGCGUAAAGCGCGCGUAGGUGGCCUCAUAAGUCCGCUGUGAAAGUCAAAGGCUCAACCUUUGAAAGCCGGUGGAUACUGUGGGGCUCGAGUCCGGAAGAGGCGAGUGGAAUUCCUGGUGUAGCGGUGAAAUGCGCAGAUAUCAGGAGGAACACCAAUGGCGAAGGCAGCUCGCUGGGACGUGACUGACGCUGAGACGCGAAAGCGUGGGGCGCAAACAGG
rnacentral:rRNA from 1 species